rnacentral:siRNA from 1 species
AGGACCGAGUGCCGCUCA